rnacentral:rRNA from 1 species
CCUACGGGAGGCAGCAGUGAGGAAUAUUGGUCAAUGGACGAGAGUCUGAACCAGCCAAGUAGCGUGAAGGAUGACUGCCCUAUGGGUUGUAAACUUCUUUUAUAUGGGAAUAAAAUGUUCCACGUGUGGGAUUUUGUAUGUACCAUAUGAAUAAGGAUCGGCUAACUCCGUGCCAGCAGCCGCGGUAAUACGGAGGAUCCGAGCGUUAUCCGGAUUUAUUGGGUUUAAAGGGAGCGUAGGUGGAUUGUUAAGUCAGUUGUGAAAGUUUGCGGCUCAACCGUAAAAUUGCAGUUGAAACUGGCAGUCUUGAGUACAGUAGAGGUGGGCGGAAUUCGUGGUGUAGCGGUGAAAUGCUUAGAUAUCACGAAGAACUCCGAUUGCGAAGGCAGUUCACUGGACUGCAACUGACAUUGAUGCUCGAAAGUGUGGGUAUCAAACAGGAUUAGAUACCCGGGUAGUC